ACAGUCUGUGGAUUGAAACUGAGACUUACCUGAUUGUCACUUGGUUUAUGCUACAGUUUGUCAUGGCACAAACUGUUUCACCUUAUAGGAUAGAGUGUUUUAAAGGGUAAAAAACUGAGUAAGUAGACUACUUUAAUAUCAAAUAUUUUUAUUACUUCUUUAUGAUACUAUGUUAAAUCACAAUCUUUUUAUCAUAUAAGUAUAUUGCCUCUGUGUGUUAGUCCAUAUGUUUGAUAAGCAUAGAUACAGUACACUGUGCUAAGUACUGAAUGGAAGGGGAUACAAAAAUAUGUAAGAUAUAGGAUUCCUCAAUGAGCUUAUUUACUCACAAGUAUUAUGGUGGUAGACUUGAUAUUCUAGGUAACUAAUUAGAUAAUGUGAAUGGUAAGGGGAAAAAUCAGAGAAUAACAAAAAUCUUUAUUGAGUGACUGAAAAAUAUCAGUACUACUGACAGAACUAGGCAAAUAGGGAGAAUGACUCAAUUUUGAUGGGAAAAAAUGAAUAAAUAUAAUUAUCCCUUCCAUAUUGGGACUUCCCUAAUUGCAGUCUCUGCAUAUUAUAGGUUGAUAUAAGAAAGUGGAAUUUGGGGGGAGAUUUGCAGAAACUGCAGAAUAUACCCAAAGGCCAGCAGAUGACAGAAAAAGUUUACUCAGAAUGCAUAAAAUAUAUGUAUAGUAUUGUGUAUCAAUCCAAAUUUUACAAUAAAAUACUAAAAAUCCACAAUAAAAGACAAAAGAAAACAAUUUAGACUUCUAGUACAAAGGGAGUAACAAAAGAUUUUAUGCCUAUUUUUCAGAUUGUGGGAGCACUGUACCCGAACUCCUGGUCCCCUAAACCCCACAAGAUAGAAGGAAUAACUGUACACACAUUUCUCAACUGUUAUACAGUAUGCUGACUAUAAGUCAAUCACUAGAUAUGUGUCUAUAUAGAGAAUUUUAGGGAUUGUGAGGGAGGAACAUAUACAUAUUUAUAUACAUAUAGAUAUAUGUGUGUAUUUUUACAUUCUCUCUCUCCAUACACACACACACACACACACACACACACACACACACACACAAAAAAAAAAAAAAACACACGAGUGAGGGAAGAAAGAAGAGGAGAGAGAGUGUCCAAAAACUCUUGACUGAAAAAACAUUGACUUAGCAAGCAGGUCCCUAUCUCCUUGCACUGGAGCUCAUUUUUCGAUUUCCUCACCCUUGCUUUGUCUGUCAGUUGCAUGACUAGUCUUCCCUCAAAUCCAGUUGCACUUAAAAUUUUGCUAUGUAACACCAGUGCUAUAUUGUAAAAAUGACUAAUAAUGAAAGGAAGUAUAUGAUAAAUAUCAAGGGAACAGUACUUACUAUUAAGAGCUAUAGGUUCAGAGGAGAGGAAAGAUACUGGGAUGGUAGUGGUUUCAGAAGUCAUCCACAUGUAUGAAUCUUUGCUACUUUCCAGGAGAAUGAGGAUAUUCUUUUACUCUGAAUAGCCUGAUUCCUAACCGCAUUCAGUCCUAGAGGAAACUGACCUCACUUUGUGCACCUUUUCCCCCAUAUUCCUUUGUUCUUUAUAUACUUUAUAUGUGGGAAGUGUGUGUGUAUGUAUGUGUAUGUGUGUGUCAUAUAAAGUUCACUGUGCUAAGAGGUACAAGAGAGAAGCCCUGCCCUUAAGGAACUUAUAAGAGGAAAAGACAACACACAAAAGGAAGCUCAAAAGUGGGAAGAUAAGAUGUACGGUACCUAGAACAUACACAACACAAGAGUUGGAACUAGUUCAUCAGAUCAUACUGACGUGAAACAGAUGGCAGGUGUGGACAUAAUAAGAGUGUAUUGACAAAUGUCAGAGUUUGACUUCACAGCUUCAGAGAUAAAUAUAGAAUUAAAAAAUCAAGUAGACACUUGAUCAAAAA